CAAAAUUCAACAUCCAAAAUUCAACAUCCAAAAUUCAAACCCUAGCCAUGGCGGCAACUUCUCUCACCUCCUCCCCCCUCGCCACCCACGACUCCCUUCUCAUCCGUCCCCUCACCGGCCGAAUCCCGUCUCUAAGACCCCACUCUCAUCACCGGCGGAGGGCGCUGCCGAUCGUUCUCCGAUCGGCCCCGGAAGCGAGACCGGCGGUGACGGAGGCGGAGAGGGAGGACGGGGAUUUGUUCCGGAAGAAGCUGGACGCGUAUAGCCAGAACGGGAACGGGAAUGGGUAUGCGAGUGCGAACGGGAGCGUGGAGGUGUUGUUGAAGGGGAACGGGGCUGCGAAUGGGAGUCUGGUG
rnacentral:misc_RNA from 1 species